GUAGGUGGCAAGCGUUGUCCGGAAUUAUUGGGCGUAAAGCGCGCGCAGGCGGUCCUUUAAGUCUGAUGUGAAAGCCCACGGCUCAACCGUGGAGGGUCAUUGGAAACUGGGGGACUUGAGUACAGAAGAGGAAAGCGGAAUUCCAAGUGUAGCGGUGAAAUGCGUAGAGAUUUGGAGGAACACCAGUGGCGAAGGCGGCUUUCUGGUCUGUAACUGACGCUGAGGCACGAAAGCGUGGGGAGCAAACAGGAUUAGAUACCCUGGUAGUCCACGCCGUAAACGAUGAGUGCUAAGUGUUAGGGGGUUUCCCGCCCCCCUUAGUGCUGCAGCUAACGCAUUAAGCACUCCGCCUGGGGAGUACGGCCGCAAGGCUG
rnacentral:rRNA from 1 species